GCACACCCUCCCACCGCACGUGCUGCUCCGUGAUAUUCCGCCAUAGGAUGAAGACUAUGGAACAUGUCCCAAUCUGGCUGCAUAAACUCCCCAAGAAAUAAGGAGUUGUAUGCAACUGAUGCUAUAUGAAUCGUGUGAGACGCUGGAUCUCUUGGCCAGAAAUCGUCCGACGCUCGAAUAACAGCAUUCCGCUUUGAACUGUAUAAACCAUCAGUAUUGUGACUCAUGCACGAAAUGAUUCCGUUAUCGCGAAAAUUUCGAGAAA
rnacentral:misc_RNA from 1 species